UGAGUGACCUGCCGAUUUGUGGGGGAUAGCCGGGCCAACGCCCGGGUAAUACCGCAUACGCUCUUCUUGGGGCAUCUCUAGAAGAGGAAACCUCCGGGGCAAAUCGAGGGACUCGCGGCCUAUCAGCUAGUUGGCGAGGUAACGGCUCACCAAGGCUACGACGGGUAGCUGGUCUGAGAGGAUGGCCAGCCACAUUGGGACUGAGACACGGCCCAGACUCCUACGGGAGCAGCAGG
rnacentral:rRNA from 1 species